AUCAACUUGAGACCCCAAAAACAGUUAGACAGAGCCAGCAAACAAUGGGGUUACCGGGUUAUGUUAGAGACUUAAUCCCUGGCUUUAGCAGAUGUCUAAACUUAUUUAUGAGAUUAUCAAAGGUGGACAAUUGAAAUAGACAAUAAAACUGAAGAAUCGUUGAUAGAAAUUAAAACAGCUAUAUUAAACUCAGGACAGCUGAAAGGAAGAAAUGAUGAGAAAAAUUUAGAGGCUGACUUGGAAACAGACGAAACAGGUUACCAAUUAAUAGUAAGAGAAAAGAAAAGUAACAUACCUGGUAAAAUUAUGACUGGAAGCUGGGAGAUCCAAGAACUUAAAUUUACUGGUGUGAAGAAGCAGCUGGCAGCACUUAGAAAACGAUAUUUCCGAGUUGAAAGGCCUGGCAAGGGGCCAAAUAAUAUUUGUUAACAUGAAAACAGCAGUAUUAGCUCAUCUCUCCAAAACAAUGUAAAGGAUGACCGUGCGCUUAAUAGCUGAUGGCAGAGAUGGGAAAGUAUGCUUCUAGAUCCAGAUAUGAAAAUCAGACAAAAAGAACUUAAAAAAUGACAGAAAAAGAAAUUAGAGCUUUAUAAAAAUACAGUUGUUUUCACAGAUGGCUCAAAAACGGCCACUGACGAGGAAGCUCACUGGGCUUUUGAUUCUGAAACAGAGCAACAAGGUCAUAGCUUCAAAUGAGGGAGUAGUGCAAGGCACAGGACAGUACGCAGAGCUCAUGGCAGUGUUCCAGGCUUUGAAAACACUGAAAAACUUGGAUAUUUACAGGCCAUAAUAGUGACGGAUUGCUGUUGCAACAGGAAUUACUGACAAUUUGCAAAUCUGGAAUGACAACGGUUACACCAAGUCAAAAGAGAUCAAAAGUCAAAAGACCAGUCAGAAGACUCUUGCUGAGUAGGAGACCACGUCUGGAUCAGGUUAGAAAUUAAACAUAAAAAUAAACCGUUUAAAGAUUUAAUUAAUAAGAAUGAUACAAAAAAUUAAAAUAGUUGAUAAACAAUGUGGAAUUAACAGAUAAUGGCCUCAGUGGAGUAAGAGGAAUUUGGUCGUGGUUAAAAACCAAGGACGAGAAAAUUUAAUUCAAUCAGGAAAAUUAUCAAUGAGAUUAGGAUGAGCUUGUUAAAUUGGUUGAGAUUAAUAACCAGAGAGGUGUGAUUAGAAUUGAAACUAAUCUAAGGACGAGAUGCGAUGAUAAUUAUAUAGCGAAGGAUAUUGAGCAUGUAAAAGCCAGACAGACAGGUAGAUUGCUUAAACCUGUUAAACUGACAUGUUAUAUAGCAUAGGUGUAUGUGUGCUAUUUGUGGUAGUUUUGAAGAAUAACUGUGGUGGGAAGCACUAGCGAUAAGCAACCCCAAAUCCAGGGAGGAAUUAAAAAGCAAUAUUAAUAAUAAAAAAAAUACAAAAAAGAUUAGUAAACCUCUAACUAUGCCAAAAAUACAGAGAGAUCAAGAUUACAAAACUCCUGGAGAAAUUAAAGCAGCUUUGUGUGUUCACUGCCAAAAAUGAAAAAUUAGUUUCCCUAAAGUUGAAGUAAUAAUGACACAGCGGCUUGGAGUAAAAUAAACAGUUUGUGAUUGUUUGUGGACAGGGAAUAUGUGACUGAAUGCGAUGUAUGUCUCGAUGACAUUAAAUACCAUAAAUUGCUGGUACAUGGCAGACAUAAAGUUUGGUCUUGUAACAAGACCUUUGUUGAUUUCUCUAGUAAAGGCAAAAUUGAAGGUUCAAGAUUGCAAGUUGAUAACAUGACUUAUCAACAACAGCUGGGAUCAGGCGUCGAUUAUCUAUGGUCAUACCGUAUUAAGAGAAAUAUGGAUGACAUUCAAAGUAAAUGGCUCCCGUUGACCCCAAAGGUCUGGGAACGGAGCUGGAGUGCUUGAAAACUUGCUUUGACGUGAAGGUCAAAGCAUGCCGGCCAGAUAAGGGAACUGGAAUUAUCUGGUCUGUAGGCACCGUUGCCAAAACACUAUUAUAAAGUAAUAUAGGUGAGUGAAUAAUGGCACCUAGAAUUGAUUUUUUGAGACGAGGAGAAUCUGAUGACUCAAAUAGCAAUGUGCGUUGCCAUUUUAACUAAUUUCAACUAAUAAUGCAAAGAAGCAGAGUUCUGUGUCCUAUUGCAUUAUGGAGACAGAACAGCCAGCAAGCUGCUGUAUUAUCUCCGGGCAAGAAGCCAAUUAUGGAGGGGUUACAGCAGUCUUGUCUGAAUUAAACUAAUGUUAAAAGUUGUUUUAAACAUGACCACCACUUCUGAACCACAAAUUCUAGCAUGUGCAGUUGACAUUGAAUUGGCACACGAUUAAGUAGUGAGUAAAUUGACAAAAGGUUCGGAAGGGGGGUGGUUUGAAUUAUUGUGUUAUUAUUUUUAUUUUUCUCUCAGGAAUGAUGAAAUUACAAGACUUAGACGAGAGAGAGAAAUGGGCCAGGAAAAUACAACGCUGGCGACAAGCCUGUAUACCACAACCUUGUUUGACGGUAUUAUUAGUAUAACAGGGGUUGUGAUUUUAACUGGAAUUUGGCCAAUAAUUGAUUUCACUACAAAAUUGAUUGUGGUUGAGGAGAUUACUGUUAAAGAAGUUUCCCACUUUACUAUAGUGUAAAUUUUUUUUUUUCAGGAUCAUGUGAGCUAAAAACAUUGGAAGAAUGUAGCCAAUGUGAGAAAAAAAAAAAAAAAAAUAUAUAUAUAUAUAUAUAUAUAUAUAUAUACAGUGGGGAAAGAUACAUUAGUGAAAUGUAGAAUAAGGUCAAUCCCAUGUAACAUUACACGGAUAAAGAGAAUUUGGAUUUGGCACCGCCUGCAGCAUAUACUCUAUAUUGGACCUAGAGAGACAUUAGGGUGUUACACGAGCAACACUGAGGACAGUGUUAAGCCAAAUAAAGAAACCCAGAUUACUGCAACUAAAUAAAAAGAUAGAGGUUCCCAAUGUGUAAAAUAUGGGUUGUAUGAUCCUAAAAGUGCAUUCCAAAGAAACUGUGAAAAAUAUUAUAAUGACAAUAAAUAUACAAUGUGUGAAACUACAAAAAAUUAUGGGAUCCAUUUGCAUGGAUAUAUUGGUUUAUAUAUUGACAUAGGUUAAUAUUAAUAUAUUAAUAUAUUAUUAUACAUUAAUAUUGGUUAGGUGAAACUACUGAAUGAAUUAGUGUAUAUUCAAAAGGAUUGAGAACUCUUGUGGGAAAAUGUGCUUAAUGAAAAUGGAACUGAAAGGGAUCAAAUGAUAAUACAAUUCAUUUGUAUUAUUUAUUAUUUAUUUAUUUGGUGAUACAGGAACUAAUAUUAGAGCAUUACUGUGAAAAGCAUUAAAGCCCAAAAAUUUAGAUGAAAAACAGAGAAUCUCAUGAUGGGAUGAGUAUAAAAGAUAAAAAUAAAAAUAUUAAAUAUAAAAAUACCGGGCUAAGCACUUACUAUCCUUUUCCUGUAGUUUGGAUGAGAUUUCAGGUAAAGGAUAGCAGAUUAUUUUGUUCUAUUUCUAAGGAAAUCCCAGAAUACCAUAAUGUUAUGACUAUAUCAGCACCUAAUCACAAAAUGUAAAUUAAUAUUAGUGGCAUGCUAGAUGUCAAAAAGGUUUUGACCAUUGACAGAAGCUUAUGGACUGUUUAUUACUUUACAGGAAGACAAGGCUUAUUUAAAUAUGCCUUUAGAUAGUUAUUUUAGAAGAUUGGACAUUAAUUAAGGAAUUAAUGGUAUGUUGGCUUAAGAAGUCUAUUCGUAUGAGCCCAUAUAUAUGGAUAAUAGAGAGAAUCAUGCUAAAGAAGAUAAAGGGAAAUGAAGGACUCUGUACCCAUUGUAUUGGACAGUAGCUAGACCACAAUAUAUUAAAUUACAUGCAGGAUACAGACAAUGGAUAAUUUAUACUGUAUGUUAUUUUACUAGUAGGAGCUUUCAUUGGGAUUUUGAUUUUGUGAGAACUAAAGGGCCUUGGAGGACUGAUAAGAAGUUUAUUAAAAAUCUGUUAUUCUACAGUCGUUAAUAUUAUCUUGCAGGUGGUUGGGCUUAGUAGGAGUAGAGAUAAAGAGGACAAACAAGUGCUCAUUGAAAGAGGGAUUCAUCGAAAGACCUUGACCGAACGUAGCACUCCUUUGGUGCAUAAGGUCUGAGACUUUACUUCUGAAAUACAUGGCAUUUCAACAGAGUGCCACGAAGGGUGAACAGUUGAGUGAUAUACCAAGGAUAACUCUAAGAAUGAUUCUACCAGCAUUGCUAUUUUGUUAGGAAACGGUGACAACCUUUUGGAAAUUCUGGUAAACAACUGUCUUUGUAUUACAGUGAAUAUGAUAUUAUAAAAAUAAUAAUAUAAAUUAAAAUAAAAAAGGGGGGUUACAUACAUAUGUUUUUAAGUUUUUAUUUUCUAUAUUUAUUAUUUUUGAACUUCAUUUAAGUGGGUUAUUGGUUCUGAAAAUGUAUGCAUGAUUCAUUAUGGAAACCUAAUAUGAUAGGUAAAUGAGUAAAUUAAGAACAAAUACAAAGGACCAAAAUUUGAUUAAAAAAGAAAAAAAAAAUUCUUUUAAGGCUCAAAUAGGAAUUAAGGAGAGCCCCAAGUGGAGAAUUAUUGACAAGAAAAUUUAAUUACUGGAUUGUUAUUGGGCAAGAUAAUUGUAUGAGAUGCCGUCAAUUUCUGACUGAUUUAAGAGUGAACUUUGUAAUGGGGGAUUUAUGCUAGGAAUGUUUCUACAAGAAUACAUUCAUUAUGUGGAUUAAUGACUAUGAUGAUGCAGAAUAUAAUGUUGAAUCUUAUGAAUUGAUGACUGGAGUGCAGAUAUACAUUUUGGAAAACAAUAAAAAUUAACUUACAAUCUUUUUAAACUUAAAGACUGGUACAGAUUGGAGAUCUGGGGAUUAGAUUCUUGUGCACUGCUUGCAUAAUAAAUGUACAGCUGAAGUUGUAAAAGUGGUCAAAAUUGAUGAACUGCUUUUUAUUAUAGGCAGAGAAAUUUAUGGAAUUCCUGGAGAAGGAGGAUUUAACUCUGACUCAGCCCGCCUUAACGCCCCAAGGUGCUAAGAAUCAAACAAGCGGCUCGCACACCAGAAGGUAUGCCUGGAAUGCCAGAUCCCCUCUCUUGGCUUCUGAAGAGGAUUUCAGAGAGAGGGGAAGAGCCGUGCGUUUCUGAGUGAGGACCCCUGGGGGCGUCAGAUUGAGGCUUGUGUACAUGAAAUUACGAACGGACGAUUGUUGAGAGCAAGAUUUGGACACUAUCUUAGCACUGUCAAGCAGAGCACAAAGAUUUGGUCACCUGAUACUACUGUAUCUGGAAAUUAGAGGAAAAAAAAAAAAAGAAAAAAAAAGGUGCAAGGGGAAAGAAAGAAUGCUCGAGUUUGGGUUGAAAACUAUAUGAAUGUGUUUCAUACCAGUUUACUGAUGCAUGAUAGCACUGUGUAUAUGAUUCUUGCAAAAUAUAACAAGUUUAAAAAACAUGAUGAACAGUACUUUAGCUUGAAGAUGUUAGGAUGAAAUCAGCCAGCAAAAUUGCAAAGCAGUGGGUGUUAAUGGAGAUGAUGAUUUUGCAAUUAUACUGUCUUGAUUAAUGCUUAAUUUGCUAUAAACAGAUGUACUGUAACCUAAGUAGUAAUAAUGCUUUUGCUUAAGUACAAAGAUGUUACCCUGUGAUUAAUGCUAUAUGGAAAAUGUAUUGUGUAAUUUCACUUACAUUAAGAAAACUGCUUACUUGCAUGAAAUGUAUGUAGUGACUGAUUUAGAGUAGAAACACUUAUGUAUUAGAAAUAGUUUUUAUGAUAAAUGGACAAUAUAGUAUUUAAGGUGUAUUUCACCGACUGUUAAAGAGGAAAAGGGCUAAAGCAAUGCGACAUAAACAACUGAAAGCCUCGGCAGAGGAGUUGGCAGCACUCCAGGUGAUGACAUCAGAAGAACCAGCGUUCGACGUCUGGGUAUAAAAGACUGAGAGAGAGACUCGACCGACGGAUACUGAACAAGCACAGUAUCCCUCGACGCCUGAUACCAGCUGAUUAUACCUUGAUUUUGUAACUUUACUAUUGUACUUUGAUAUAACUUUUGUUAAUUUUAAUAAAACUUGUAUUUUAUUAUUGACAAGU